rnacentral:misc_RNA from 1 species
GGAAGGAUCAUUAAACAUUGAGUUAUCUCAACCAUCAUAUUAGCACAUUGCGCUAAUAAGUAAUAGGUCCAUGCUUGUUUGGACUUGAAUAACACAACAAGCCGGGACAUUAUUAGUUUCGGUCGGUAGCGACAGCUAUCUGAUAGCAAUUUCAACCUUUACAGGUUAUUUACUUGUACGUUAUACCUUAAUAAUGAAAUUGCUUCGUCUUAGUGGUGGAUCACUUGGUUCCUGCAACGAUGAAGAACGCAGCAAAGCGCGAUAUGAAGUGCGAGUUGCACAGUUAGUGAAUCAUCGUAUUUUUGAACGCAUUAUGCACCAGUAAACUUGUUUGUUGGUAUGCUUCUUUGAGCAUCGAUAUGUUAAUAUUCGGCUUUGGUCGGAAUAUAAAUCUUUUCUGCUGUGUAUUUGGUAGAGAAUAUUUAGAUAUCUUUAUAAUUCAGCACAAAAGGCAACUUCUGCUGGUAGUUAUGUAUAUGUAAAACGAUCUCAAGUGAAGUAAGAACACCUGCCUAAUUUAAGCAUAUAAUUAAGCAGAGGAAAAGAAAUCAACCGAGAUUCCCCUAGUAACGGCGAGUGAAGCGGGAAAAGCCCAUCCUGAAAUGUUGAUCAAAAACAUGUUGUAGGGUGAGGAGCUGUUUUCAGAAGCAGCCUAGAUCAAAGUUUCUCUGAAAAGAAGCGACAUAGUGGGUGACAUCCCUUUUAACGAUCUAGGAGUGUAUCUACGAAGCAUGCUUCAAGAGUAGGUUUGUUUGAGAAUGCAAGCUGAAUUUGGGAGAUAAUCUUCUCCCAAGGCUAAAUACAUGCAGGAGUCCGAUAGCGAACAAGUACCGUGAGGGAAAGUUGAAAAGCACUCUGAAGAGAGAGUCAAUUAGAACGUGAAACCACUAAGGUUGAAGGGAUGACCUCCAGUCAUACAAUUUAUUGUAAAUAGUUACCCUUCAUUUAAACCUCUAUCUAAGCAUUACUUGCUUCGUGGGUUACCAGGAUGAGUUUAAUUCCUGAUAUGCCAAAAUGCAAAGGUAUGAGUUCAGUUCUGAUGUCUCAGCUUAUAGAGCAUUUGCGAGCUUUUAAUCUAGGGAUUAGACUCAGGGAUUACACAAGACGCAAGUGAAUUUAGGCUCAUUUGCAACAUUAUUGUUUCGUCUUCAAGAGCCCUGGUUAAAUGGUGGUCAUCCUCCCGUCUUGAAACACGGACCGGGGAGUUUUACCUUUAUGCAAGUCUAAGAGUGAAAAACUCGUUGGCGCAAUGAAAAUAAUAUAGGUGAUAAGCUUAUGGCUUCCUCAUCUCCCGGCCACUCAAUUGCGGAGCGGUUCGAGGCUGAGCAUAAAGGCAGAGACCCGAAAGAUGGUGAACUAUACUUGAGCAGAAUGAAGCCAGGGGAAACCCUGGUGGAAGUUCGUAGCGGUACUGACGUGCAAAUCGUUCGUCCGACUUGAGUAUAGGGGCGAAAGACUAAUCGAACCAUCUAGUAGCUGGUUCCCUC